CCUACGGGUGGCAGCAGUAGGGAAUCUUCCACAAUGGGCGAAAGCCUGAUGGAGCAACGCCGCGUGGGUGAAGAAGGUCUUCGGAUCGUAAAACUCUGUUGUUAGAGAAGAAAGUUCGUGAGAGUAACUGUUCACGUUUCGACGGUAUCUAACCAGAAAGCCACGGCUAACUACGUGCCAGCAGCCGCGGUAAUACGUAGGUGGCAAGCUUUAUCCGGAUUUAUUGGGCGUAAAGGGAACGCAGGCGGUCUUUUAAGUCUGAUGUGAAAGCCUUCGGCUUAACCGGAGUAGUGCAUUGGAAACUGGGAGUCUUGAGUGCAGAAGAGGAGAGGGGAACUCGAUGUGUAGCGGUGAAAUGCGUAGAUAUAUGGAAGAACACCAGUGGCGAAAGCGGCUCUCUGGUCUGUAACUGACGCUGAGGUUCGAAAGCGUGGGUAGCAAACAGGAUUAGAUACCCGGGUAGUC
rnacentral:rRNA from 1 species